UUAGGGAACCCUAAAGAAAACCACACUCUCUUUACUUAUUUAUUUAUUUUUGCAAGGCGAUAAUUUGUGGAAAAUUGGGCUUACAGGAGUAUUUAGAGAUGCUCUCUAUUUUAUGAUAAAGUAUAAGGAUCCUGGGAAAGGGUUAAAUAUCUCUUUCCCAAAUCAUACAGGAGGUUCUAGCUAACACAGGGUAUUAAUACAUAGACCCCACCGUUCUAGACACAGUGGCUGUGCUGCUAUGAGUUAAGGGCUGACCUGCUCAGUCGUUAUCAACUAUAUACUUGCAAUGGGAAAAACAACAACAACAUAUAGUCUACCAUUUCUGAAAAAAAAAAAAAAAAGAAUAAAACUGAGAUGGUGUUGGAUGGGCAUCAUAAUCGGGCCCGCUUGUCAUCGCAAGGUCUAAUUUGGCUGAGGCAGUUGACGAAUAACUGUUAAAAUGUAUUGUGUUAUUAAAAAUAACAUAGUACGGCCCAUGAUUAAAUAUCAGGGCUGUAAUUUAAUCUCGGGGGUUCUGGUGCUGUUCAUAAACCAUUUGGCUUUUUUCUGUAACAGAUGACGUCAGAGUACAGCUUGAUUGAAUUAUGACCCUGGGGGCAGGGCACCUGCCUCUGCUUACUUACUGCAUAGCAUGUCAGCAUUUCCAUUACGAGUUUUUUUUUUUCUUUCCCCCUGACAUUUGUAACUUUGAAUAGUUAAACUAGUCUGAUGGUUGGAAUAUAAACUUUCAGCCCCCCUGGAACAGACUAUUUUCUCAAUAAAAUAGAGAAGGUGGUGACAGAGCUCCAUUAUGGAAUACCUUCUAGAAUGUUCUUCUUUGCUUUAAUCUUCCAUUAAUUUAAACAUUCCCUUUUUGGGUACUUAGCUGAAUGGCAAGACCUCCAAAUGGAAGGUUUUUAAUCUCAAAUCUCCCAAACCAGGGCUUAACUACAAAGUCUUUAAAGGAGUUUAAAUUCAGGAAAGGAUGGAGCGUCUACGGAGAAUGUUGAAAUGAUAGCUCUGGACAAUCUAGUUUUCAUAUUUCAUAAAGUGCUAAAGAACAAGUCAUGAAAAACAUGCAAAUUAGCAUCCUUUGUAAUUGCUUCUAUAGUCACUUAAGCUGAGUAAAAUUUGAUAAAGGUAGGGUAGGUAAAGGGUAGAAAGGCAUAUUUAUUUACGUCCCAUCUAGAGACCUUAGCAUAGCUCCUCCAGCUUUGCCCCUUGGGUUUUAAUGUGUUGGCAAUGGAGAUAAGAUAUCUACAUUUUAUCUGGCUCACUAUUGAGCCAUCUAUUUUGAUGCUGACCAAGAGCUUAUCUGACAGCUUUUAUAACGCACAUUAAGUUCACAACCCUCCUAGGUAGUUGAAAGGAUAUGAUAGACUUUGUAGAGAAAGAUGUGCCCAAAUAAAUCAUGUAGCCCAACAAGAAAACAUAGAACAUGCAUAUACAAUCAGCAUGUAUCUUACAGAAGACACGAUCAUGUAUGAGUUAACAAUUUUGCUUAUUUGAUUUUUUUUUAAAUCAACAAGAUCUUGCCAGCUAGCCCAGGCUGGCCUUGAACUCGUCAUCCUUCGACCUGUGCUUCCUCAAUGCUGAGGUUAUUGUCUGGUGCUGCUAACCUUGCAGAUUUAAACCUUGCAGAUUUAAACCUUGUUUAAAUCAGUGGAAAUGCACUUCUCUUUAAUUUUAGGUUUUGAAAGCUUACUUCUUACCAGUGGAACCUACUGAUAAAAGUUCCAUGAACACAUAGAUUUUGAUCCUCAAAGAGGGGCAGCAUGUAACAUGUGCAUUUAGGGGUUAAAUGUGUAUCAAGGUGACUGUGAGCCAGGUACAGAGAAAAGAAAGUGCAGACAGGCCUCAGGGAGCCCAUUUCAGGGGAGCCACUGUCAUCUAGGCACACAGGACAACUUUUGUGCUUUACAUGUCAAUUGUUUUACUGUGGGGCUCCUCCCCCAAAUUUGAAUUUUCUAAGGGGUGUAACAGACUAUAACCCAGUGCCUUCCAAAAUCACAAGUUCUUAAUGAUAACAUUGGAAGAUUUUGUUUUUCAAAAAAAUUUUAAUGCAAAUUUGUUUCCUAUUCUUCCUAUGAUCUUCAGACAGGAAUAUUUUUUUUCUUGAUCCCAAAUGAUAGCUCCUCUGGAGAAAAGUAUUCAUCAAAUUAAAUUCUGGAAAUCUGUCUCUCUCUUUCUCUUUUCCCCCCAAUGUUUGUUGCUAAGAAGCCAAUUCAUAUUUCUAACAUGAUAGAGCUUUAAAGCCCAUCUCUUAAAUUACAAAACGCAACAUGAUCCCCACCAACAUAAUUCAGGAGAUGUUACACCUGCUC
rnacentral:lncRNA from 1 species